rnacentral:rRNA from 1 species
CCUACGUGAGGCAGCAGUGGGGAAUAUUGGACAAUGGGCGAAAGCCUGAUCCAGCCAUGCCGCGUGUGUGAAGAAGGCCUUCGGGUUGUAAAGCACUUUCAGUGGGGAAGAAAGCCUUGGGGCUAAUACCCUCGAGGAAGGACAUCACCCACAGAAGAAGCACCGGCUAACUCCGUGCCAGCAGCCGCGGUAAUACGGAGGGUGCGAGCGUUAAUCGGAAUUACUGGGCGUAAAGCGCGCGUAGGCGGUCUGAUAAGCCGGUUGUGAAAGCCCCGGGCUCAACCUGGGAACGGCAUCCGGAACUGUCAGGCUAGAGUGCAGGAGAGGAAGGUAGAAUUCCCGGUGUAGCGGUGAAAUGCGUAGAGAUCGGGAGGAAUACCAGUGGCGAAGGCGGCCUUCUGGACUGACACUGACGCUGAGGUGCGAAAGCGUGGGUAGCAAACAGGAUUAGAUACCCCGGUAGUC